rnacentral:rRNA from 1 species
UACAGAGGGGGCAAGCGUUAUUCGGAAUUAUUGGGCGUAAAGGGCGCGUAGGCGGCUUUGCAAGUGACGGGUGAAAUCCCUCGGCUUAACCGAGGAACUGCCUGUCAAACUGCAUGGCUUGAGACCGGGAGAGGUGAGUGGAAUUCCCAGUGUAGCGGUGAAAUGCGUAGAUAUUGGGAGGAACACCAGUGGCGAAGGCGGCUCACUGGACCGGUACUGACGCUGAGGAGCGAAAGCAUGGGGAGCGAACAGG